rnacentral:rRNA from 1 species
UACGUAGGGUGCAAGCGUUGUCCGGAAUUAUUGGGCGUAAAGAGCUCGUAGGCGGUCUGUCGCGUCUGCUGUGAAAACUCAGGGCUUAACCCUGAGCUUGCAGUGGGUACGGGCAGACUAGAGUGCGGUAGGGGAGACUGGAAUUCCUGGUGUAGCGGUGAAAUGCGCAGAUAUCAGGAGGAACACCGGUGGCGAAGGCGGGUCUCUGGGCCGUAACUGACGCUGAGGAGCGGAAA